UUCGAUGAAGGCUUUGAUGGAAAUGUUGGUCAGCAGCUGGUUGCCUCAACAGAUGAUGAAAAUGAUGGUCAACAGCCGGUUGCAUUAGAUGAUGAUUUUGACGAGGUUCCAAAUGAUGAUGGUCAACAGCCGCAUGAUUUUGACGAUGAACCAAGAUAUCCUCCAAAUAAUGAAUCAAGUGAGGCUCCAAAUGGUGAUCGAAGUGAGGCUCCAAAUGAUGAUCCAAGUGAGGCUCCAAAUGGUGACCAACCUUCUGUUGUUGUGAGUUCUGCUAGGUAUGUAAAUCUUGCAAAUACUACUGUACAUUUAUCACUUGACAUGAUCUCAUUACCCUUUAUGUUUUGCACAACUCUAUGGUAG
rnacentral:rRNA from 1 species